AUACGUAGGUGGCAAGCGUUGUCCGGAUUUACUGGGUGUAAAGGGCGCGUAGGCGGGAUGGCAAGUCAGAUGUGAAAUCUCCGGGCUCAACCCGGAAACUGCAUUUGAAACUGUCGUUCUUGAGUAUCGGAGAGGCAAGCGGAAUUCCUAGUGUAGCGGUGAAAUGCGUAGAUAAUAGGAGGAACACCAGUGGCGAAGGCGGUGUGCUGGAGCACAACUGACGCAGAGGCGCGAAAGCGUAGGGAGAAAACAGGAUAUGAUCCCCUGGUAGCACACGCCAUAAACGAUGAAUACUAGGUGUGGGGGGACUGACCCCCUCCGUGCCGCAGUUAACACAAUAAGUAGUCCACCUGGGGAGUACGGCCGCAAGGUUGAAACUUAAAGGAAUUGACGGGG
rnacentral:rRNA from 1 species